AGCAGCAGCCGCGGUAAUACGAAGGGUGCAAGCGUUACUCGGAAUUACUGGGCGUAAAGCGUGCGUAGGUGGUGGUUUAAGUCCGUUGUGAAAGCCCUGGGCUCAACCUGGGAAUUGCAGUGGAUACUGGGUCACUAGAGUGUGGUAGAGGAUAGUGGAAUUUCCGGUGUAGCAGUGAAAUGUGUAGAGAUCGGAAGGAACAUCUGUGGCGAAGGCGACUAUCUGGGCCAACACUGACACUGAGGCACGAAAGCGUGGGGAGCAAACAGGAUUAGAUACCCCCGUAGUCCCUGUCUCUUAUAC
rnacentral:rRNA from 1 species